rnacentral:rRNA from 1 species
UUGUUGGUAAGGUAAAGGCUUACCAAGGCUUCGAUCAGUAGCUGGUCUGAGAGGACGGCCAGCCACACUGGGACUGAGACACGGCCCAGACUCCUACGGGAGGCAGCAGUGGGGAAUUUUGGACAAUGGGGGAAACCCUGAUCCAGCCAUGCCGCGUGAGUGAAGAAGGCCUUCGUGUUGUAAAGCUCUUUCAGCCGGAACGAAACGGUUACGGAUAAUACCCGUGACUACUGACGGUACCGGAAGAAGAAGCACCGGCUAACUACGUGCCAGCAGCCGCGGUAAUACGUAGGGUGCGAGCGUUAAUCGGAAUUACUGGGCGUAAAGCGUGCGCAGGUGGUUUUGUAAGUCAGAUGUGAAAGCCCCGGGCUCAACCUGGGAACUGCGUUUGAAACUACAAGACUAGAGUGUGGCAGAGGGGGGUGGAAUUCCGCGUGUAGCAGUGAAAUGCGUAGAGAUGUGGAGGAACACCGAUGGCGAAGGCAGCCCCCUGGGUUAACACUGACACUCAGGCACGAAAGCAUGGGGAGCAAACAGGAUUAGAUACCCUGGUAGUCCAUGCCCUAAACGAUGUCAACUAGUUGUCGGGCCUUUACGGGCUUGGUAACGUAGCUAACGCGUGAAGUUGACCGCCUGGGGAGUACGAUCGCAAGAUUAAAACUCAAAUGAAUUGACGGGGACCCGCACAAGCGGUGGAUUAUGUGGAUUAAUUCGAUGCAACGCGAAAAACCUUACCUACCCUUGACAUGUAUCGAAGCCCGCAGAAAAGCGGGGGUGCCCGAAAGGGAACGAUAACACAGGUGCUGCAUGGCUGUCGUCAGCUCGUGUCGUGAGAUGUUGGGUUAAGUCCCGCAACGAGCGCAACCCUUGUCAUUAAUUGCCAUCAUUUAGUUGGGCACUUUAAUGAGACUGCCGG